rnacentral:tRNA from 1 species
GUGAGAGUAGCUCAAUUGGCAGAGCACUGGACUGUGACUCCGGGGGUUGUGGGUUCGAGCCCCAUCUCUCACC